rnacentral:rRNA from 1 species
UACGAAGGGGGCUAGCGUUGCUCGGAAUUACUGGGCGUAAAGGGCGCGUAGGCGGACAUUUAAGUUGGGGGUGAAAGCCCGGGGCUCAACCUCGGAAUUGCCUUCAAUACUGGAUGUCUUGAGUUCGGGAGAGGUGAGUGGAAUGCCGAGUGUAGAGGUGAAAUUCGUAGAUAUUCGGAAGAACACCAGUGGCGAAGGCGGCUCACUGGCCCGUUACCGACGCUCAGGCGCGACAGCGUGGGGAGCAAACAGG